UACAAAACCCUUUCAAAAAGCAGGUAAAUCACAGCAACCAGAAUGCAGCUGCGACAAUUGAAAGUGCUUUUCGUUAUGAUAGCAUACAGUUGGUCUGCAGUUUACGGACAAAUUGUGGCCC